rnacentral:tRNA from 1 species
GGCCUCGUAGCUCAGUUUGCCAGAGCGUUGGCUGUACUAAAGCCUUCCCCUUGCUGGUGUGGGUUCGAAUCCCACCGAGGCUG